GCUCUUUUGUCAGGGAAGAAACGGUGGUCUCUAAUAUAGACUGCUAAUGACGGUACCUGAAGAAUAAGCACCGGCUAACUACGUGCCAGCAGCCGCGGUAAUACGUAGGGUGCAAGCGUUAAUCGGAAUUACUGGGCGUAAAGCGUGCGCAGGCGGUUAUAUAAGUCAGAUGUGAAAUCCCCGGGCUCAACCUGGGAACUGCAUUUGAGACUGUAUGGCUAGAGUGUGUCAGAGGGGGGUAGAAUUCCACGUGUAGCAGUGAAAUGCGUAGAUAUGUGGAGGAAUACCGAUGGCGAAGGCAGCCCCCUGGGAUAACACUGACGCUCAUGCACGAAAGCGUGGGGAGCAAACAGGAUUAGAUACCCUGGUAGUCCACGCCCUAAACGAUGUCUACUA
rnacentral:rRNA from 1 species